UUCCCCCUCUUAGUGCAGGCUGCCCGGGGGGGGGAAGAGUUCUCCCUAGAUGCUCUAGUAGAGAGGGGAGCCCAGCGCCCCGGGACUGCAUCCCCCGCUACACCCUUCCUACAGCUCCCAGGGGGCGCGGCUCUGCUCCCCCCACCCCCGCGGUGCAUGGGGCGGAGCGGCCCAGCCGAGCUCUCUGUGCGGCGGGAUGCAGCGGCCCGAGGCCCGGCCACGUCAGCACCCCGAGGGGGCUGCCCCGGGGGGCGGAGGCGGCGGGGACCGGGCAGCUGCAGCAGCCGCCGCGGGAGCCAUGGACCCCACGAGGCUGCUGGAGCCUUCCCUCUACACAGUCAAGGCCAUAUUCAUCUUGGACAAUGAUGGACAGCGACUCUUAGCCAAGUACUACGACGACACCUUUCCAUCCACGAAAGAACAGAAGACCUUUGAGAGGAGCGUUUUCAAUAAAACCCACAAAACUGAUAGUGAGAUCGCCUUUCUGGAGGGGCUGACCAUUGUCUAUAAAAGCAGCAUUGACCUCUUUUUCUACGUGGUGGGGAGUUCCCAGGAAAAUGAGCUGAUGCUAGUGGCAGUUCUCACCUGUCUCUUCGACUCCCUCAAUCACAUGUUACGGAAGAACGUAGAGAAGCGCUCCCUGCUGGACAACCUGGACGGGGUGUUCCUUGUGGUGGAUGAGAUCGUCGACGGGGGCGUGAUUCUGGAGAGCGAUCCUCAACAAGUGAUCCAGAAGGUGAACUUCAGGACGGUCUCGGAGCCUGCGGCAUACGGGUUUGUUCUCUUUGAUUACAUCGCCAGUAACUCAGAGCAGAGUGAAUCCGUGCCUGCCAACGGCGGCAAAUAGGCAGCGGCCAGCUGGGAAGCAGGUGGACGACAGCCCUCUGUCUGAGCAAAGUGUCGCCCAGGUUCUGCAAUCUGCCAAAGAGCAAAUUAAAUGGUCCUUAUUAAAGUGAACGUCCCAGAGGAGAGCGCCUGGAUCCUCCCGAUUGGAUGGGUCUGAACCGCGACGGCAAAUGAUUCCUCACCUUAUUCGAUUAGCCGUUUGCAAAUUGGCAUGAAAAGUCUGAUAAAAGCUUUGGGGUAGGAUGCAAGAUGGCUGACAUGGGCCGCGCCUCCUGGGGGAACUCCAGCCUUUCACGGACACUGGUUUAAACCCGGUCUCAGUGCCAUGAAAUUCUCUGCAUGCUAAAGGGGAGGGUUGGGGUUGGGAGAAUUGACUGGUUAACAGACCAAAUUCUGCUCCUUAAACCAGUGUAAAUGUGGAGUGACGUCAAUGGGGUUAGUUCAGGUGUAACCGAGAGCAGAACCUGGCCCAAGAUCCAUAAAGAACUCCAGAACUCCUCAGGAAUGAAUAGGAGGGUUGAUCAUUUGUAUUUACACCACCUAAAGCGCUGCGUGAGAGUCAAUUACAAUUUGUUUGGUAGGAGCAGAGCCAGAACAUACCAUAGUUGAAUCUUCAGUUUCACCAGUAAAGAGCUGGCUGCUUUUUUUGCGGGGCUGUCACUAGUGCCUGUACCCUUGUUGAUCGAUGCAGCGAGCCAAUGCUUGCUUGCUGCUCAGUGAGGGUCGAGCCUGAGACUUUCAAAACCAUAGGAAGGGAUUUGCUUGCCCUUUUCUCAUUCAAACAGCUGGGGCUUUGGCAUCCAGGUCCCCCUAGGCUCUUUGGAAUAUCUCAGCCAUGUCCAAAAUCUCUUCCGCUGUCUCCCAAGGCAACCAACGCUUUGAUCCCUUUUGGGGAUGGCCAGGCCUGUGCAGAGGGUCAGCGUGAAGUAAGUGCCACUGUCACGUCCUCUCAUGUGCAGGAUGGGGAUGAGUGCACAGGAAUCAUUGUCACCCUGUCAGAGUAAGAUUCAAAACAUCUCAAUGAUGAGCACUAAUAACCCCCCUGCAAAAAAAUACCCUCUUACAAGGCGCUUUUCAUCAGUAGAUCUCAAAGCACUUUACAAAGGAGGUCAGGUCAUUAUACAGAUGGGGAAACUGAGGCACAGAGCAGGGCAGUGACUUGCCCAAGGUCAUCUAGUAGGCCAGUGGCAGAGCUCAGAAUAGAAUCCAGGUCUCCUGAGUCCCAAUCCAGCACUCCAGCCACUAGGCAGCACAGCCUCCCUCGUGCAGUUUUGGCUGUUGUUAACUUUGUAAAAACAAUCCUGUUGCAAAUAGCUGUCGGCUCAAACAUCAUUAAAGGACCCGGCUAUGGGAAAAAUCCUAUUUCCAGAGCUAUCAUUUCCUUCCCUUUAACACCCCAGAUUAUCAAUAGCAAGAAAAAAAUGAAAAUCGAAUGAAGGAGAAUUGGCUAGCUGUGUGAUACUUACCUCAUCGAGGGCUUGGUACGUUUCAAUCCACUUCUGUAAACUGGGCAUGCCCAGCUUCUUUUAUGAUCAACAAAUAAAGUUUUAUAGCACAUGGGUC